rnacentral:misc_RNA from 1 species
AACGCACCUUGCGCUCCUUGGUAUUCCGAGGAGCAUGCUUGUUUGAGUGUCAUAGUCUUCUCAACCCUUCUGUCUUUUUCAUUAAAGGCAGCUGGGCUUGGACUUGGAGGUCUUGCAGGCGUCCGAAUUUUUAAUUCGGAAGUCAGCUCCUCUGAAAUGCAUUAGCUUGAAUAGAACCAAGCAUGAUUCAGCGUGAUAAUUGUCUACGUUGCUUCAUCUCGGUGAAUUUAAUGUUCAAGCUUCUAACCGUCCCUUGGGACAAUCUCUGAACAUCUGACCUCAAAUCAAGUAGGACUACCCGCUGAACUUAA